rnacentral:rRNA from 1 species
UGAACCUGCGGAGGGAUCAUUACUGAGUUUACGCUCUAUAACCCUUUGUGAACAUACCUAUAACUGUUGCUUCGGCGGGUAGGGUCUCCGUGACCCUCCCGGCCUCCCGCCCCCGGGCGGGUCGGCGCCCGCCGGAGGAUAACCAAACUCUGAUUUAACGACGUUUCUUCUGAGUGGUACAAGCAAAUAAUCAAAACUUUUAACAACGGAUCUCUUGGUUCUGGCAUCGAUGAAGAACGCAGCGAAAUGCGAUAAGUAAUGUGAAUUGCAGAAUUCAGUGAAUCAUCGAAUCUUUGAACGCACAUUGCGCCCGCCAGCAUUCUGGCGGGCAUGCCUGUUCGAGCGUCAUUUCAACCCUCAAGCUCUGCUUGGUGUUGGGGCCCUACAGCUGAUGUAGGCCCUCAAAGGUAGUGGCGGACCCUCCCGGAGCCUCCUUUGCGUAGUAACUUUACGUCUCGCACUGGGAUCCGGAGGGACUCUUGCCGUAAAACCCCCCAAUUUUCCAAAGGUUGACCUCGGAUCAGGUAGGAAUACCCGCUGAACUUAAGCAUAUCAAUAA